GAUGAACGCUGGCGGCGUGCCUAAUACAUGCAAGUCGAGCGAACAGAUGAUGAGCUUUCUCUCCUACUGUUAGCGGCGGACGGGCGAGUAACACGUGGAUAACCUACCUCUUUUACUGGGAUAAUUUCGGGAAACCGGAUCUAAUACCAGCUAAUAUUUUCUACCGGAUGAUUCAAUAGUUAAACACGGCUUUGCUGUCUCAUUUAGAUGGUUCCGCGCUGCAUUAGUUAGUUGGUAAGGUAACGGCUUACCAAGGCGACGAUACGUAGCCGACCUGAGAGGGUGAUCGGCCACACUGGAACUGAGACACGGUCCAGACUCCUACGGGAGGCAGCAGUAGGGAAUCUUGGACAAUGGGCGAAAGCCUGACGGAGCAACGCCGCGUGAGUGAUGAAGGUCUUCGGGUCGUAAAACUCUGUUAUUGGGGAAGAACAAAAGUGUGAGUAACUAUGGACGUUUUGACGGUACCUAAUCAGUAAGCCACGGCUAACUACGUG
rnacentral:rRNA from 1 species